CGGAUACUGACCCUCGCAGGCAUCUGCGAGGUUCCAAAGCUCCGGGGGUGCAUGAUGAACCCGCGGCCUAACUACUUGUUGGUGAGGUAAUGGGUCACCAAGGGGACCACUGGGAGCCGGCCUGAAAAGGAGACCGGCCCCCCUGGGACUGAAACCCGGCCCAAAAUCCUACCGGAGGGAGCAGUGGGGAAUAUUGGACAAUGGGCGAAAGCCUGAUGCAGCGACUCCGCGUGAGGGAUGACGGCCUUCUGGUUGUAAACCUCUUUCAACAGGGAAGAAGCGAACGUGACGGUACCUGCUUAAGAAGCGCCGGCUAACUACGUGCCAGCAGCCGCGGUAAUACUGUGGGCGCGAGCGUUGUCCGGAAUUAUUGGGCGUAAAGAGCUCGUAGGCGGCUUGUCACGUCGGUUGUGAAAGCCCGGGGCUUAACCCCGGGUCUGCAGUCGAUACGGUCAGGCUAGAGUUCGGUAGGGGAGAUCGGAAUUCCUGGUGUAGCGGUGAAAUGCGCAGAUAUCAGGAGGAAUACCGGUGGCGAAGGCGGAUCUCUGGGCCGAUACUGACGCUGAGGAGCGAAAGCGUGGGGAGCGAACAGGAUUAGAUACCCUGGUAGUCCACGCCAGUAAACGGUGGGCACUAGGUGUGGGCGACAUUCCACGUCGUCCGUGCCGCAGCUAACGCAUUAAGUGCCCCGCCUGGGGAGUACGGCCGCAAGGCUAAAACUCAAAGGAAUUGACGGGGGCCCGCACAAGCGGCGGAGCAUGUGGCUUAAUUCGACGCAACGCGAAGAACCUUACCAAGGCUUGACAUACACCGGAAAGCAUUAGAGAUAGUGCCCCCCUUGUGGUUUGUGUACAGGUGGUGCAUGGCUGUCGUCAGCUUGUGUCGUGAGAUGUCGGGUUAAGUCCCGCAACGAGCGCAACCCUUGUCCCGUGUUGCCAGCAGGCCCUUGUGGUGUAAGGGAGUCACGGGAGACCGCCGGGGUCAACUCGGAGGAAGGUGGGGGGGACGUCAAGUCAUCAUGCCCCUUAUGUCUUGGCAGGCACACACGCUUCAAUCACCGGUCCAAUGAAAUGGGAUACCCCGAGGGGGAGGGAAUCUCUAAAAACCGGUCGCAGUUAGUCUUGGGGUGUGUAACUAAAUCCCAUGCAGUAAGUGUGGAUAGUAAUUGCUGAUCGGCAUGGAUGCGGCGAAUACGUUCCCGGCCGUCGUACACCCCGCCCGUCAUGUCACCAAAGUAGGUAACACCAGAAGCAGUAGGCCGUAACCCCGCAAGGAGGAAGCUACG
rnacentral:rRNA from 1 species